rnacentral:rRNA from 1 species
AGUGAACGCUGGCGGUAGGCCUAACACAUGCAAGUCGAACGGCAGCACAGUAAGAGCUUGCUCUUACGGGUGGCGAGUGGCGGACGGGUGAGGAAUACAUCGGAAUCUACUUUUUCGUGGGGGAUAACGUAGGGAAACUUACGCUAAUACCGCAUCCGACCUACGGGUGAAAGCAGGGGAUCUUCGGACCUUGCGCGAUUGAAUGAGCCGAUGUCGGAUUAGCUAGUUGGCGGGGUAAAGGCCCACCAAGGCGACGAUCCGUAGCUGGUCUGAGAGGAUGAUCAGCCACACUGGAACUGAGACACGGUCCAGACUCCUACGGGAGGCAGCAGUGGGGAAUAUUGGACAAUGGGCGCAAGCCUGAUCCAGCCAUACCGCGUGGGUGAAGAAGGCCUUCGGGUUGUAAAGCCCUUUUGUUGGGAAAGAAAAGCAGCAGGUUAAUACCCCGCUGCUCUGACGGUACCCAAAGAAUAAGCACCGGCUAACUUCGUG